AGACCUAACUACAGACACAGCUACAGACCCAGAUGGGAGGGAUUUGAGCCCUGUGGACUUCAUCCAGCUGCAGCAGUACAUGGAAUAUAGCAGUCUGAGAGUGAAAGAUGUGAUGAAGGAGUUUCAUGCAGGCGGGCGGUUGGUCCAGCACAGAUUCGGAGAGGUGGAGUCUACCUCAAAGAUGUGUCGUGUUACUUAUCUGUGUUGGAGGAGGGACAGCCGCGAGACAAACUGGA